CCUACGGGAGGCAGCAGUGAGGAAUAUUGGUCAAUGGGCGGAAGCCUGAACCAGCCAAGUAGCGUGCGGGAUGAAGGCCCUACGGGUCGUAAACCGCUUUUGCACGGGGAUAACACCCUCCACUUGUGGAGGUCUGCAGGUACCGUGCGAAUAAGGGCCGGCGAAUUCCGGGCCAGCAGCCGCGGUAAUACGGAAGGCCCGAGCGUUAUCCGGAUUCAUUGGGCUUAAAGGGAGCGUAGGCGGGCGUUCAAGUCAGCUGUAAAAUCGCGCGGCUCAACCGCGCCCCGCAGUUGAAACUGGACGCCUUGAGUAUAGAAGAGGCAGGCGGAAUUCGUGGUGUAGCGGUGAAAUGCAUAGAUAUCACGAGGAACCCCGAUUGCGAAGGCAGCCUGCCGGGGUGCGACUGACGCUGAGGCUCGAAGGUGCGGGUAGCAAACAGGAUUAGAUACCCUUGUAGUC
rnacentral:rRNA from 1 species